CGCCCGUCGCUACUACCGAUUGAAUGGCUCAGUGAGGCCUUCGGACUGGCUCAGGGAGGUCGGCAACGACCACCCAGAGCCGGAAAGUUGGUCAAACUCGGUCAUUUAGAGGAAGUAAAAGUCGUAACAAGGUCUCCGUAGGUGAACCUGCGGAGGGAUCAUUA
rnacentral:rRNA from 4 species